AUACGUAGGGGGCGAAGCGUUAUCCGGAAUUACUGGGUGUAAAGGGAGCGUAGGCGGUAUGGUAAGCCAGAUGUGAAAGCCCGAAGCUUAACUUCGAGGAUUGCAUUUGGAACUAUCAAACUAGAGUACAGGAGAGGUAAGUGGAAUUCCUAGUGUAGCGGUGAAAUGCGUAGAUAUUAGGAAGAACACCAGUGGCGAAGGCGACUUACUGGACUGAAACUGACGCUGAGGCUCGAAAGCGUGGGGAGGC
rnacentral:rRNA from 1 species